rnacentral:rRNA from 1 species
AUGGCAGCUCGCCGUGCCCACGCCGCCGCGACCUUGGCCCUGCUGGUGGCGGCGCUUGUGCUGUCUGCGGCACCGGCGCCGGCGGAGGGUGCGGUUGCGAACUGCGGGCAGGUGGUGAGCUACCUGGCCCCGUGCAUCAGUUAUGCCAUGGGCAGGGUGAGUGUGCCUGGCGGUGGCUGCUGCAGCGGCGUGCGUGGCCUUAACGCGGCGGCUGCCACCCCCGCCGACCGCAAAGCCACCUGCACCUGCCUCAAGCAGCAGGCGAGCGGCAUGGGCGGCAUCAAGCCCGACCUCGUCGCCGGCAUCCCCAGCAAGUGUGGCGUCAACAUCCCCUACGCCAUCAGCCCUAGAACCGAUUGCUCCAAG